rnacentral:rRNA from 1 species
GUGGGAUUUCAAAGACAACUAGGAUGUUGGCUCAGAAGCAGCCACACAUUCAAAGAGUGCGUAAUAGCUCACUAGUCGAGAGGUCCUGCGCCGAAAAUGUCCGGGGCUGAAACACAACACCGAAGCUUAGGAAUUGACGUAAGUCAAUUGGUAGAGGAGCAUUCUUAACUGCGAAGAAGCGUUACCGUAAGGAGGCGUGGAGUGUUAAGAAGAGAGAAUGCCGGAAUGAGUAGCGAGAUGGAGGUGGGAAUCCUCCAGGCCGAAUAUCUAAGGUUUCCAGAGUAAAGCUGAUCUGCUCUGGGUAAGUCGGGGCCUAAGGCGAGGUCGAAAGACGUAGUCGAUGGACAACAGGUUGAAAUUCCUGUACCGCGUAUUAUCAGAACUGUGGGGACACAGAACCGAAGCCAAACCCGGGAAUGAAAAGACCGGGGCAAGCGCCGGACUGGUUAGACUGGAAAAUCCGUCUAACAACAGGAAAGCGUGACGCGUACCGAACAAAAGUAGGGAAGUUGGUAUAGGGGCUGUCAAGAAAAGCCGCUAUUGUGUAAUACGUGCCCGUACCGUAAACCGACACAGGUGGAUGAGGAGAGAAUCCUAAGGCCGGCGGGAGAAGCAUUGUUAAGGAACUCGGCAAAAUGGCUCCGUAACUUCGGGAUAAGGAGCGCCCACGAGAGUGGGCCGCAGAGAAUAGGCUCAAGCAACUGUUUAGCAAAAACACAGGUCUAUGCAAAACCGAAAGGUGAGGUAUAUGGGCUGACGCCUGCCCGGUGCUGGAAGGUUAAGAGGAGAGGUUAGAGCAAUCGAAGCUUUGAAUUUAAGCCCCAGUAAACGGCGGCCGUAACUAUAACGGUCCUAAGGUAGCGAAAUUCCUUGUCGGGUAAGUUCCGACCCGCACGAAAGGCGUAAUGAUUUGAGCGCUGUCUCGACAAUGCACCCGGUGAAAUUGAAGUACCAGUGAAGAUGCUGGUUACCUGCGCCAGGACGGAAAGACCCCAUGGAGCUUUACUCCAGCUUGAUACUGGGAUUCGGUGUCGCAUGUACAGGAUAGGUGGGAGGCAGUGAAGGUAGGACGCCAGUCUUACCGGAGCCAUUGUUGGGAUACCACCCUUGCGAUAUUGGGUUUCUAACCUGCGGCCAUGACCUGGCCGGGGGACAAUGUCAGGUGGGGAGUUUGACUGGGGCGGUCGCCUCCGAAAGUGUAUCGGAGGCGCUCAAAGGUUCCCUCAGAAUGGUUGGAAACCAUUCGAAGAGUGCAAAGGCAUAAGGGAGCUUGACUGCGAGACUGACGGGUCGAGCAGGUACGAAAGUAGGACUUAGUGAUCCGGUGGUAUAAAGUGGGAUUGCCAUCGCUCAACGGAUAAAAGCUACCCUGGGGAUAACAGGCUUAUCACUCCCAAGAGUUCACAUCGACGGAGUGGUUUGGCACCUCGAUGUCGGCUCAUCGCAUCCUGGGGCUGAAGUAGGUCCCAAGGGUUGGGCUGUUCGCCCAUUAAAGCGGUACGCGAGCUGGGUUCAGAACGUCGUGAGACAGUUCGGUCCCUAUCCGGCGUGGGCGUAGGAUAUUUGAGAGGAGCUGUCCUUAGUACGAGAGGACCGGGAUGGACUGACCUCUGGUGUACCGGUUGGGUAUCAAACCCAUGGCCGGGUAGCCAAGUCGGGAAGGGAUAAACGCUGAAGGCAUCUAAGCGUGAAGCCCCCCUCAAGAUGAGAUAUCCCAUCGCAAGAGUAAGACCCCUUGAAGACGACGAGGUAGAUAGGGCAGAGGUGGAAGCAUGGCAACAUGU